rnacentral:piRNA from 1 species
UAGGUGUGCAGAAACCAAGAACAAGAAUUGC